CGAAUUAGUGAUUAUACAAUUAAGUCGGUGAAUUAUCAAGUUCCUUAUCUUAGGACUUACAGUACGAGGAGCAUCUCGAAGUUGGAGCACGAAGAACUGGGAGACGGGAUGAUGAUGAUUUGAUUCUUGAGUAGGACUUCCUUCA